AUCUGUCUUCUCUGAACAGCACUCUCGUGAACACCGGCCUCAGUAGAGCAGUUUUUGACUCAGUCAUGUGCUACACUUUAUUUACAAUUUCAAAUAAUUUCUUGCAGAUGAAGUAUACAUGUAGCCACUGUAUUUCUUUUAUUUUUUUCACAGAUCUCGGAAAACACUUCACACCCGACAACCCCUAAAAAUAACCCAGAUUUGACAGCAGUGCACACCCACCUGUUUUACUUCAUGAUCACCCCAGAUACUUCUACAACUAACCCGCUUUGUGUCUGAUGUUGAUGCAGUCUGGGCACUAGUAUCUGUUGGGUUGCUGACUAUCAUUGAAGAUGAAGUACUUCUCCAAAUCUUCUCUGCCUUGACCCUGUGUCUUUUGCCAUCAUUGUUCAGGGUAGUACUGCAAAGAACAGUCUCCAGGGUCUACCUCAGCCAUUUGCUUCCGGACUGCCAUGCACUAUGUUUGGAUCACUGGUACAGUACAUUUGGAUUACCCUAAUACUGUGAAGAACACUUACAGUGUGAUGCUUGACUUGGGACGGGA